rnacentral:lncRNA from 1 species
AACGUAUCCACCGCCGGAAGGACCACCGUCGCCUGAUACGCCGUCGCCACCGCCGCCGUCGCCGCCGCCACCGCCGCCGCCUCCGUCGUCACCGCCGCCGUCGCCGCCGCCACCGCCGCCGCCGUCACCGCCGCCACCAUCCCCGCAAGACGAUGAUGGCAAUGAUGAUGAUAAUCCUAAGACCAAGCCGCCUCCUAGGACACGAUCCCCGCAAGAAUCGAAGCCCUCGUCGCCCCAGCCCAACGCUCCAUCACCACCGCCCAAGAAGUCGGUUCGACCACCACCCAAACGCAAAGGCAAUGAUGACCGCCGUCGCUCGCUUCUAGACCCAGCCACCUAUCCACCUCCGCCGUCGCCGUCGUCGCCUGAUACGCCGUCGCUACCGCCGCCGUCGCCUCCGCCGCCGUCGCCCGCCGUCGCCCCGCCGCCGUCGCCUCCGCCGCCGUCGCCACCGCCGCCGCCGCCGCCAUCACCCCGUCCACCAUCGCCGCAAGACGAUGAUGGCAAUGAUGAUGAUAGCCCUAAGACCAAGCCGCCCCCUAGGACACGAUCCCCGCAAAAUCGAAGCCCUCGUCGCCCCAGCCCAACGCUCCAUCACCACCGCCCAAGAAGUCGGUUCGACCACCACCCAAACGCAAAGGCAAUGAUGACCGCCGUCGCUCGCUUCUAGACCCAGCCACCUAUCCACCUCCGCUGUCGCCGUCGUCGCCUCCUACGCCGUCGCUACCGCCGCCGUCGCCACCGCCGCCGUCGCCUCCGCCGCCGUCGCCACCGCCGCCGCCGCCGCCAUCACCCCGUCCACCGUCGCCGCAAGAGGAUGAUGAUGACCAUGAUAGCCCUAAAACCAAGCCGCCCCCUAGGACACGAUCCCCGCCAAAAUCGAAGCCCUCGUCGCCGCCACCCAACGCUCCAUCACCACCGCCCAAGAAGUCGGUUCGACCACCACCCAAACGCAAAGGCAAUGAUGACCGCCGUCGCUCGCUUCUAGACCCAGCCACCUAUCCACCUCCGCCGUCGCCGUCGUCGCCUGAUACGCCGUCGCUACCGCCGCCGUCGCCUCCGCCGCCGUCGCCUCCGCCGCCGUCGCCACCGCCGCCGCCGCCGCCAUCACCCCGUCCACCGUCGCCGCAAGAGGAUGAUGAUGACCAUGAUAGCCCUAAAACCAAGCCGCCCCCUAAGACUCGAUCCCCGCCAAAAUCGAAGCCCUCGUCGCCGCCACCCAACGCUCCAUCACCACCGCCCAAGAAGUCGGUUCGACCACCACCCAAACGCAAAGGCAAUGAUGACCGCCGUCGCUCGCUUCUAGACCCAGCCACCUAUCCACCUCCGCCGUCGCCGUCGUCGCCUGAUACGCCGUCGCUACCGCCGCCGUCGCCACCGCCGCCGUCGCCACCACCACCGCCGCCGCCACCACCGCCAUCGCCACCGCCGCCGUCACCAUCACCGCUAUCGCCACCACCAUCGCCACGGCCGCCGCUGCCACCGCUACCGCCAUCUCCGCGACGGGAUGACGGCAAUGACAAUGACAAGCCGAAGCCCCGACCACCCCCUAAGGCGAAGCCGUCACCACCGCCACCCAAGGCACCCCCACCGCCGCGCCGGACGCCGCCGAAGCGAGGUGGACGCGAUUAAACGUCAUCUACCUUUCCUUCCGAGAUCACGUUGAAGCCAUGCGAUGAUGGCCAGCUUCGCCGCUCUCUUAAGCCGCCGUCGCGCCGCCAGACCAAUUGCUCCAUUGCACCCCCUAAGGCACCUUUUCGUCCCUACGGCCACUUUCUUCGCUUUUCUAUUGUUGGUGGGGGCUAGAGAUAGAUAUCAGAGGACGGUUGCAAUUGCUGCUGCUCUUGAGCGUGCGUCGAAUCCCCUUAACGCCAGUACGAAAGGCGGCAAGAGGGGUUGCGGAUGGGGUUGUGGAUGGGGUAGCUGAAUAGACUGUUGCCUAGUCUCCGUCAACUAGGAAUAUGCAACAGCUUACACGGUGUCGAAUCAUUCGCAUUUCUCAAUGUGCCGUACGUACGAGGUGUGUUGUACGGCAUUUCCAGUUAUUUCCAGAUUGGGUUGUCAGAUGGCGGCAUGAUGACGAGGUAGUGUUUUGUGGAGCUCAUGAUGAUGCGUCGCAGCUGAUGAGUUACCAAAAAAUGGUAUAUAAUACUAAACGCAGGUCCGUGAAUAUAUUUUUGUACAGCUGGUCGGGAUUACAUACAUACAUGCGCACAUUUUCCAAGGCGCUCGAGGGAGGGAGGGAGGGAAGUCAGAGGGCCAUUUCCCUCAACCGACAAACCGACAACGCUCAACGGUGUUCCCAACGGUGUUUCCCUUCUUCGUUUUAUGUAUAUUUACGAGGGAAGAAGCUAUGGAGAGCGAGCAGUUGCUGCUGCUAUGCUGCUGCACCGCAGUACUGCUGUACGGGGAUGAUGGCGCUAGUGUACAGACUGUAGCUUGGCCUAGGAGCUAGGAACGGCCUCGCAAUUACAUUUACGUCCUUAUUGCCCUCCUCAUAUAGAUAGUUCGUUAGUUCGUUAGAUUUUGGUGGUAUGUAUGUAAGGAGGGGCCUGUGCGGCGGUGUAAGUCCAAACAGAAAGUCUGGCAUGCGUGUGCGGCAUGGACGGCACCUUGGUCGUUCUAUAGGCUUGACUUCGUCACAAGGGAGGACACCCGUUUUGUUCUCUUUUCCUUUCCUUCUUCUACCCUUAUCCUGCUAUCCAGUCUGGCGGUGUGUGCCAUGGUGUGUUAUCCGCCCAGUUGCCCGCCUCCAAGUCACAGCACGCGAGUACAUAAAUCUUCAGCCAUGCGCUUAUGUAUGCUUGUAUGUGUGUAUGUCUGUGUGCAAGUUUCCGUAUCUGCGGCUGUAAAGCAAGCUAGAAGGAAGGUAUACGGUGAUCAGUUACGGCCGCCGCUGCCAUCGCCGUGGGGCUGACCUUUCCCAUUCCCUGGAGUGGGGGUACCGAUCGGGACGCGCACACAUACACAUACACACACACACACGCGCGCAUGCGCGGGGUGCCGGGGGGGGGGACCCCGCGGUGAAAGGAGUAAUAAUGUGUUUAUCGUGCAUUAUGUAUGCCCAUGUAUGCAAAGCUGCAAAGAUGAUGUAGGUCAUUCAUAAGUUGGUUGAGAUAUAGAGAGAUGUCGGUUAGUUAGUUUGGACGAUGCAAGAUAGGCUAUGUGUAUGCGUGCGGGCGUGUGUGUGUAUGUGUGUAUGUGUGUGUAUGUGUGUGUGUAUGUGUGUAUGUGUGUGUAUGUGUGUGUAUGUGUGUGUAUGUGUGUGUAUGUGUAUGUGCGUAUGUAUGUGCGUAUGUAUGUGCGUGUGUGUAUGUGUGUAUGUGUGUCUUACAUCUUGAGGUGAGGUAUUGGCCAUGUGGCAGGCGUACAUCGCAUCAUGCAUGCAAGUAAGUUGGGCUGUAGGUCGGGAUGGGCCGUGCGGUACGGCAUUGGACGCAUUGCCCUCGUCCGCAGCUAUACUUCUUAGAUGUCUUAUGUAGAUGAAAUUUGGCCACUAGAGUUUUCGGGGAAGCCUAGGUAGCUUUACGUAGCGCCAUUCAGCACGGUCGGUCAGUGAGAGGGAUGUUAACCCCAGCCCAAGAAGUCUCUUCAUUUUUUAAAUCGUGUGGAUAGCGGGGAAAUCAAUUUGGUGCUGUUGAUGACCUUUUGCGUAAGUUUGGUGUCGAGCGGAAAGGAGUUGGUAAGGGAGAACGGUUAGGACUCUGACCGAUAUAACGGCCCUCCAAUGAUGGAGAGUGCUUCGGCGGUCGUUCCCGUUGGGAUACGACCAGCGUCAGGUCGGGAUCGACAUGUAACAGAACCAUGGCUCAUGAGAGCGUGCGCGCGUGCGACGCCUCCCACCCCCCGGUGGAGGAGAGCGGAACUAGCGGACCUGCGGCUCUCGGCUGCUUAGGAGGAGGGGACAGAGAACCCCCUCACGCCCCUUGCGCCCCGUCCGCGGGAGAGAGCUUAGGCGGUCUUUCCGUUGGGGCUGGGCUGCAGUCCCUGGCCCGGUGUCAGGCCCGGUCACAUACUCGUAACUUUCACACACAGCUACACACACACAGCCACAUACACACACACAGCCACACAGCCACACACACACACACACACACACACACACACACACACACACAGCCACACACACACACACACACACACAGCCACAUACACACACACAGCCAGCCCCCCCCCCACACACACACACGCACACGCAUACACACACAUCAGUGCAUGGGCGCAAACGAUAACAUCAUCUAAAUCUUAUCCCCCCCGGAAACAUUCGGCCUUUCGGGUUCGGUAUUCUGUCAUUCUUCUCGCGGUCACCCGAAUGCAGGAAUGGGCCGCCUGCUUACUACUUACACACAGCCUACUGAAUAUAAAUACAUGCACGUAUACAACGUAAGCAACCAAAGCCAGGCCGCGUUGUUGUGCGGCACGUAACCCCACAGCAGCCUUAACCCCAUGGCAUCUGUGGGUUGGUUUUUUUGCCACCAGAAAGUGUGGCAGGGUGGAAGCGUGGCAGGGUAGAUCGCAUGAUGACGCACAUACAUACAUACAUACUGCUCCCGGAGUGUUCGGGUUCAAAUACGCCUGCCGACCAGGGUUCGACACCCCGUACGGGGCCCGUAAGUUUUUGGCCUUUUUUCGGUAUCCCCGUCAGGGCCCGUAGGACUUUUCGGUGGCUCCCGUAAGGAUUUUGGGGCGCGAAGCGCCCCGUACGGGGCCGCCCCCGGACCGGCCGAAGGCCGGUUACGGUGGCUCCCGUAAGGAUUUUAAGGAUUGAUAAGAGGCCGUACGGGGCCCUGUAGGGGAGAAGACGGACCAUAUAAAGGAUAAGGCCACACAAUUGGCACAUAUUAUUCAUAUUGCAAUAUUUAACUACACUUUUCAUAAUACUUUUAUAACUUCUGGUCUGUAACAUCCAGCGAUGGCAGACAAUGAGUCGUCAGGAGGUGACCAAGGGCCUCCUAAUCCACCGCCCUCCAAGAAGCGCGAGAAAAUAACGAAAAUAACGAUUUACAGGGCAAAAAAAAUGCAAAGCGUCACUUUCCACAGCGUUUUAGCCAAGGACAGUGCCCCCGUAAAGGUUUUGCGGGGGUUACGGGGGCCCCCGUAAGGUUUUCGGCCGGCACAGGAGCCUGGUACGGGGGCCCCUCCGUAAGGAAAAUUUGGGAGGUACGGGGGAGCCCGCAAGUUUCAGGAAGGUCAGUGUCGAACCCUGCUGCCGACCCCUCGAAUGUUUGAGGGGUGUCGAAUCGGGAGGUGGCCCCCCAUCUUGUGGACUGUGUAGGGCGUGAUUAUAGCAAUUUGCGAGCUGACCAGGAACUUAGCUGAGGCACCGUUGAUCCGCUAGAUCUGGUAGGAUGCUGGUGGUGAGCUGCUGAACCCAACGAUUACAUUCUGAAAUCUGAUAGGGUGAACGGAUUAGGGUGGCCCUCUCGCAGGGGAGAGCAGGUAACUGCCUCGGGUAAGGGGCCCGCUGGUGAAGCUGUACCACCCUGUAACAACAAUACAUACAAACACGUACAGCGGGCACUACGAUUAGCAUGCAAUACCUGCCGUGCCCAAUUUGACGGGCGCUGCAAACUGUGGAAAACUGUGGAAAAAUGGAGACAAAGUGCUCAAUGAGCAAGCGCUAUACACUGGCGAGCGAGGGAUGUGAACCCUACGGUCGUUAGAGACGCGCGCUUGAGAGCCCCUCGAGCUGGCUGAACGAUAUGAGGUCCAUAAGAACCGCAAGCAGCCAGUAAAAGCAGCGCUGGCGGCCCCACUGCUUCCUACUAGCUAGCAAACACCAUCCCAACGCAAGCAGCACGAUAACGCAUGCAGCUAGAUGAUACUUCUCAGGUAAUUACUGGAAAUUUGAGCGAACGCAGUAAGGGGCUUUGGGACACAUGAAUGCCCACGGGAAUAUUUUUUGAAAAAUAAAUUGCUAACUGCAGUAUGGCUAUGGCUAGCUAGCCUGGGGAUGGGGAUGACAUCUAGAUGGGCCAACGUAACUGAUACUAUUUACUGCUGAUGUCGUUCUUCACAGUGCUUGCGUUGUUGUUUGGUUGCUGAGGAAACAGCCAUAAGCUGAAGUGCCGCUACAAGGGUGGUCCAUGUUAGCUGGCUGUUGCUGCGUUUCGGGGUUGGGGGCGUUAGUCCGGUUGCAUGCUUGGGUUUCGACACACGAUUCGUACCGAUGGAGAUUCGCUGCUGCUUAAUUGGGAAAAGCUGUCAUGGAUCAGGUGACAUAAAAAAGAGCGACAGAAAUUUGGCGCGCCAAUCUUAUGGACGCUUCACGCCUGGAAACCGCGAAACACUCGUGGUGUGAAGGUUGCAACUGGGACAGGAUGUUCGACAUCGAGCUGGAGGUCUUGCUCCAUUUUGUCAAAAAAACGUGUUACAACGGUUCCGACCUUGCCACACAUUCACAGAUUCCUAGCGUUAUUCCAAGCGUCAUUCAUGUACCUUAUUGUUAUUUUAUACCUCUGUGCAGCUUACUUGUUGCAAUCCAAAAGGUUCAAGGGCAUUGCGAAAAGGAUCCAACACCAAAUUCAUCUGCAGAAUAUAGACACACCAUAUCUACAACAAAUUAUAUCUAUUCCAGGAGUCGGCAUUCAGAAAGGUUGGUUGGUCUCGUAAAACAUCUUGCCGGGCUUCAUGAAAGGUGUAAUGCCGUUUAAUAUAAAAAGCGAUAACGAAUGUUAUUAAUUAAAGUAAUCGUGAGGUGACUCCCACGGCCAGAGAAUGAAACAAAGCGGCAUCAGGUCGGUGCACAUAUAAUGAAUACUUACCUCGUGCACACAACGGACAUAAACAAUCUGUGGAUUAAUUGAUGUCUAGUGCGGCCGCUGCGUCCAAACGAUGCCAUGUUUGGAUGUAUGCCUUUGGGGGACUACGUGCAGAUGUACCCACGCGCACAACUCCCAUCCUGCAUGAGACCUAGCAGCGGUAAAUGUAGCAGCGGUGGUGGCAGCGGCGGUGGUGGAGCAGCGGUGGCUGCGGGGCUGCGGGGAAACUGCAGGUCGUCGCCCCGCCAUGCCGUCCCUUGGCGAACAGUUGCAAUUUGAUAUGACUAUGCACCAUGCAUCAAGCCGUAACCGUACCGUUGCUGCGAAUUAUACACACAGAACUCCAGGAAGUCGGAUUCGUAGGGCCCCUCGGCAGCUCUACGCGAAGCAGGGGAGAAUACCAGGCAACAAUACCGCACAACUACUAAACAUGGACAAAUAUAUGCUUAAAAAUGGUCCGAUUACUUGUGCAAUUGGUCAAAAUCAUUAGACCAUUUGCUUGAUACGGUAAUGGUGCAUUUAUAUUUAAAAGCCGGAGUCGUCGGAAGGAUUUAAAAACGAAUAGGCUGGGCAAAUUUUUGCGAGCCUAGCAGCCACGAUGGUGCGCUAUUAGUGAUGUGCAAGACCAUAUCUAUUAGGUAGCAGAUAAAAGCAGGAUGUCACGCACUGACAGCAGUUAUGGCAUUCUUAGUCGUGUACCGCCUAACGUUGUACACUUCAUUUCGCCUUCGCUUAUCAUAAGCGAAGUACAAUAUUACUCGUGUACCUCAGCUGCCGAAACCGGCUAGCUACCAGACGCGUCCGUCCCCUAGCCGUACUUCCGAGGUACCGGUCGCCUUGUAAAUAGCGCUACUGGUCCAAGCCAUGUAUCAAGCUCAGUCACCGGCAGGACAGAGGUUGAUUGUAAGCUAAGCCCCGAGGAUAGCGGUUGAUUGUACUUGCUAGAUGAAGAAUGCGUCCCUGCGUACCUAACAUCGUUGCGCUAAGCGCAAUACUUAUUUGUUGCGUGCUUGGCAGGAGUGCAGCCAACGUACUUGCCGUGUCUCUUUACCAAAGUGAAUCUAAGGGAGUCAUAGAUCUGUCCUGGGACAAUGGUUCUCAGAAUUUGGAGGCUCAGCUGAAGGAUCUUGGCCUGGACGUGCACAUCGCCGUCGAUGGCCAACCGGCCGGCCUCGAAAGCGAGGACGCUAUGGAUGCAUACAUCAUUCCAGCACAGAAUGGACAAGUUCUUUACUCAAAUGCUGAGGACAUGGAACAAGUUGCCGCUUUUGUCAGCUCCGGUGGACUUGUGAUUAUUCUGGAUGCUGGCUUUGGCGAGGGCGCCACAACACGCGAUUUCGUUUCCAAGGCCUUAAAGUAUCAAGGUAAACUGAUAUUAUGUGUUUUCAUGAUUACUAUUGGUGUUGCGGCUUUGCUUAUCAUCUACCAAGCAGAUUGCUACCGAGGUUUUCUUUGUUUUUACGUAAGCCCAAAUGUUCCCAAAUGUUCCCUUGAAGCUCCCGAAUCAUACUUGCAAAUUGUUUGGUCCAUGAAUUGCAGGUGAAUGGCAAACGUGUCAGCACAUGGCUGGGCGGUCGGAGCCCCUGACGCGGCCGACCCUUAGCCGAUGGGCGUCGUCCUUCCUCCCGGACAUUCGCGGCUCAAUACCAUGGCCCCGAGAACUGGAGGUCUCUCCAGCUACAGGUCUCAGCACAUGGUGCCACCACGAGGACGUACACGCGGUUACUGUUCCCCUGUACCGUGUCAUCGGAGGCGACGCUACAUGGCUAGCAGCUCAGGUCCGUGACUCUAAUAAAUUCUUAGACCAAAGUAUAUUUAUCACAGAAUUUUGUUAUGUAUGAUAUAUGGUAAUGAGCAUGAGCAUCCAGAGCUGCUGCUGGCCUGACCGAAAUCAGCUUACAACCGUGUUGCAGGCAUCAUCAUAUCCAGUAGCAAACAGUGUUGACAAUAAAAUAUAUAAGGUAGUUCGCGAGUCAUGAUUAGGUCCCCUGAUUAUGUUUUUCCUGCUCGUCCAGUCUCACCCUUAAUUUUGCAACUGACCGUUGCCCUCCGUUGCUUAUCCCAUUCAUCUUUCUAAAGCUCGCGAAUACAAAGCAACUAGCUAUUCAGUUAAACGACGAAGGGAGGCCCCAAUCCGACAUUGUUUUAACCCUGGUUUUGAAACGUUUUACAUCGUCUACCGAAAGGCCUCACUCACCCCUGUCCUGUCCAUCACACCGCACACGCACGCAGGCGUUCGGCAAGGUCGGCAGCCCUGGCGCCGUGGUGUGGCUCGGUUACAGCUGGAAGGACGGCCCCCAGCCGCAAUGGGGCGCGCUGCUGAAGAAGCUCAUCACCGACUUCGCAAACGGUAGGUAGCCGAUGUGGGUUUCCCUGUGUGUGGGUGGUCGUUACUUUACUAGGGCAAAAGAAAUAUAAUGAAGGUACAGUACGACAGGAGGAAAGGGAAAGAGGGAGACCUGCGUCCUCGCCUCCCUGUUUCUCCCUGUGCUAAGCGUACCUGCGUCCUGUGCCGCUCUGCCGGCUGCAGGUGCGCGGGGCUCUGCUUUCAGCGGCCACCCUGUCAACCCUGUUACCUCGGGCAAGUACGGCUUGAAGCCGCAGGCGACUAAGGACAUUGAGGAGGUGCAGGAAACUGUCUUCCAUAGGGCCCUGGCGGCGGCGGCGGGGACGUAUCCACCGCCGGAAGGUCCACCGUCGCCGUCGCCGUGCCUCGCCGAUGCGCCACCGUCGCCCGCCGCCGCGCCAUCGGUACCGUCGCCGCCGCCAUCGUCGCCGCCGCCGACGCCCCGCCGUCACCGACGCCACCUUCCCCGCAAGACGAUGAUGGCAAUGAUGAUGAUACUCCUAAGACCAAGCCGCCUCCUAAGGCACGAUCCCCGCCAAAAUCGAAGCCCUCGCCGCCGCCACCCAGCGCUCCAUCACCACCGCCCAAGAAGUCGAUUCGACCACCACCCAAAAACAAAGGCAAUGAUGACCGCCGUCGCUCGCUUUUAGAGCCAGCCACCUAUCCACCUCCGCCGUCGCCGUCCUCGCCUGAUGCGCCGUCGGUUCCGUCGCCGCCGCCGCCAUCGGUACCGUCGCCGCCGCCACCGUCGCCGCCGCCGCGCCGCCGUCACCGACGCCACCAUCCCCGCAAGACGAUGAUGGCAAUGAUGAUGAUACUCCUAAGACCAAGCCGCCUCCUAAGGCACGAUCCCCGCCAAAAUCGAAGCCCUCGCCGCCGCCACCCAGCGCUCCAUCACCACCGCCCAAGAAGUCGAUUCGACCACCACCCAAAAACAAAGGCAAUGAUGACCGCCGUCGCUCGCUUUUAGAGCCAGCCACCUAUCCACCUCCGCCGUCGCCGUCCUCGCCUGAUGCGCCGUCGGUACCGUCGCCGCCGCCGCCGUCGGUACCGUCGCCGCCGCCACCGUCGCCGCCGCCGCCGUCACCGACGCCACCAUCCCCGCAAGACGAUGAUGGCAAUGAUGAUGAUACUCCUAAGACCAAGCCGCCUCCUAAGGCACGAUCCCCGCCAAAAUCGAAGCCCUCGCCGCCGCCACCCAGCGCUCCAUCACCACCGCCCAAGAAGUCGAUUCGACCACCACCCAAAAACAAAGGCAAUGAUGACCGCCGUCGCUCGCUUUUAGAGCCAGCCACCUAUCCACCUCCGCCGUCGCCGUCCUCGCCUGAUGCGCCGUCGGUACCGUCGCCGCCGCCGCCGUCGGUACCGUCGCCGCCGCCACCGUCGCCGCCGCCGCCGUCACCGACGCCACCAUCCCCGCAAGACGAUGAUGGCAAUGAUGAUGAUACUCCUAAGACCAAGCCGCCUCCUAGGACACGAUCCCCGCCAAAAUCGAAGCCCUCGCCGCCGCCACCCAGCGCUCCAUCACCACCGCCCAGGAAGUCGAUUCGACCACCACCCAAAAACAAAGGCAAUGAUGACCGCCGUCGCUCGCUUUUAGAGCCAGCCAUCUGUCCAUCGCCGCCGCCGCCGAGAGGACGAGAGGAUAGGAAACGGAAGGUACCGCCCUACCUAGGAACUGAAAAGAAUUCGCGCUUUUCGGCCCCCAUCACAACCACCACCACCACCAGGAAGGGAAGGCUAGCUUUUAGAUUUUAAGUCAUGACUGAUGCUAUUGGGAACUAACCAUAGCAGUUAAGUCCAAACCACUUUGUGUGGGAAGAAUGUACGGCCGGAGAAUGGCCCCCACGUGAAUGGUCUAAUUUGUGCGGGGAGGGCCUGCUUGGGGCUAUUCGCAAGGUGUACGGCAUCUCCUGCUGCUGGUGAUGAUGAUGCUGAUGAUGAUGAUGAUGAUGAUGAUGAUGAAGAACCGCCCUUGUUGGCCCAUCAGACAUUGAGCGCAGUAAGGGGUGAAGGUAGUGAUGUCAGUAGAUUAGUGCAGUGCGUCGUACAUUCAUGUCAGUGUACGACAUUGUUACGAGAAUGUGAUUAAUAAGUCAUUUGUGUCAUUCUCAAGGUGUCGUACCGCACGCCGUGUUAUUUUUCGCGUGUCUAAGAUUCGUUCUUUUAAGGAUAAGGUUAGCUUUGUGCAACUGAUUUGCGGUUGCGGGUUUCCUUUCCGUAAUUCAUAUCAUCAAUUCUGGGAGUCUGGGAGUUGGUAGUUUGGGAUGGCAUGGGGGUUAUUCCGAGCGAAGCCACUAGGCAGUUAGGAUGUUAAUGUAGGGCAGUAGUAGGGGGUAACAGUUGUUAAACCGGUUUCUCCUCCUGCCGCUGUCGCGCAGCUGCCAAUGCAAGCGACUUCUCUAGCAGCUCUCGUACAUCGCUCGCAGAUCUAGUCCUCAUCAAAUCCAGAUCGAAUCCAGAUCGCGUAUCCGAUCUCCAGUUUGGGGCACCAAGGCGGACAAGCGCGAUGCAUGAUUGUUGCAUGAUAAUUGUUGAGAGAUGAUGAUGAUGAUAUUUUUCUUUUAUUACUUCUCUGCACAUGAUACGGCAAGAUAUGGUAUAGCAAGAUAGGCUGAUGUGAUGCUGGGCGCGCAGGGCUGAUGCGAGUGUGGGGGGGCAUAAGAGCGAGUGCGCAGGAGUUCAACCGCGAGCCGGCAUAGCGUAUGCACUGGCGCGAUAUUAGUUUUAAUAUGAUGCGACCAUAAAUAAAGCGCUGCGUGUACUGUACUCCGUGUCUGCCCUUUGCUUAUUGCUCUUCGAGUGCGCCCAUGAUGAUCGAGGCCAGCAGCCGCAGCAGCCAGCUCUGUAUGUAUGAUGUGUGAAACAGGGGGGUGUAUCUUCGCCCGUGGCAGC